ACAGCUUUUCCAUUUAAACCAUAACUGUGCAUAUUUACCGCAGCGUUGCCAUCUGCCAUUGGCAGUGAGCUGAUGCAUCGUGCACGGGGACAGCAGCCAGGCGGGACACCCAUCCUCCUCAACAUGGUGAAAAGGCACUGCUGACCAGCAGAGGAACUCAAGUCUUGGUUGUCCCUGCCAUUUAUCCCAAUCAUCAGUCACAUUUCAACAGAAAAUGCUUAGGAAUUAAAACCCUAGUGGCUCAUCGUCAAAAGGUUUAGUCAAGCACCAUGGGCAGAUUUGCUCUCUUCUUAGAAGCUCUUCAUAGCCGACGCAGUGGGAAAAGAAAUGGCCUUGUAUGAAAGGCUGUACAACCAACCAACAAAAGUGGAGGGACCCGCUUUUGGCAAGGUCAAACUGAGUCCACAUAGCUGUUAGAGUUUAUCUUUUGAAUCCAGUCCUUUCAGCAGAAGUAUAUAUAAACAUGCACAUUUGACAAGACGGGAAGUGUUACUGAUAGGUAAGUUGAGUAAAUGACACUGUAUUCACCUUUAACUUAAACUUGGAGUCCAGAGAUUCCUGGAAGGAAUCAGCUUGCCACACUGUCACACCAAAGUGACAAACUCAUCCACUGCAGCCGUAUCAGUUCACCCAAUAGCUUGAUGACUUCUUUGUAACCUUAUCUCCAGCCUGAGCAAACCAGUCCAAACUGAAGAAAGCUCCUGCCCAAACUGAAGAAAGGACAUAAAAGCUGUAAGUUGCUUCCACAGUUAACUCGCAGAAAAGGAGAUGCUUCUCUCCUUUUUUGGGUCUACUUUUUUUUUUUUCCUUAAAUGUCAUUCUACUAGUAGCAAGCCAAGACUGCAAUUUCGACACUGACACCAGAAGUUCACUAGUUUCAAUAGAGUUUCACUCCUUGUAGCUCUUCCUCAUUUCCUUUCUAGCGCUUUCUGCAGAAUUAGGAAGAGCCUCCAAAUGAGCACGCAACAGGCUGAGACGUGCAGCAUCAAAACAAGACACAGCUGUCUGAACAUCUUAAGGAGGCCACUGACAUCCUGAUGGCCCUGAAAGGCUGAAACAGGUCUUCAGUCUACUGGGAAAUAGGGCUGCUGCCACAUCAAACAGCAGCAAUAUAGCCAGAAAGGGAUAACAGAAUUCCCAGUGAAAUCCACACAAAGUGGAAUGUUGACUUCUAGAGGUUUGGGUGACUUGGUCACCUGCUUCAAAGGCCAACAGCCAAGCUUUGUGAGGCAGAUGCUUAUACACUAGGAAACUCAACUAAACCUAUCAGUUUGCAGUGCAGGAACCACCAAAAGCACGCAACCCCAGAUACCAUCAACAAGGCUUUGCACUCAAAGCUGUAGCUUGAACAUAAGAAGUCCUUCCCUACCCCCAGCACCACGAGACAUCCAGACAGGUGACUUUUCCUUGGAGCUUUUCCCAUCAAUGACCCAUAUCGAUUCUCUCCAUGCUCAUUUAGAAGGAAAAUAAACGAAAGAGUAAGCCUUCUUAACCCUCUGCAAUAAAGCUCAUUCAUUCCCAUCUCACACUGAGAUUCCCACGUGCAGCACACUAGUCUCAUCUGUCAUCAAGCUGCAAGAAAAGUCCGCUGUUCUCCACAGGCUAGGAGUUCGCAGCACUACGGAAACCUCCCGUGCUCAUCUUUCAAACCAGACUCCAAACCCUCCCGGAGAAAAGAAACCACACAAUCCUUGUUAAAGCUCUCUAAUCCUUAGCAAAGUCUUUGAGGUAAAGGCAAACCCUCCCGCUCCAUCUGCACGGCAGCACCGAGACUUCUCAGCUGCGGCACAACCCAGCGACAGCGGCACCGAUAGCACAGCAGGACGGCUGCACCGUGCCCCAUCAGGGACACCCAGAGCACGCAGCAAGAAGUAACCCACGGAGGGUGACACAGCAUGAAGACAGUCAGAAGUGAAGACAAGCUGCCAUUCAGAUUAACACAACUGUUCUCGUCACCAGGACUUCCCUCCCACCAGCUGAUUUCAAAGCCUUCUCCAUCGAAAAUAUACUCUGCCUCUUGAGAAGCAGCCCUCUAGCAGUCCUCUCUCUACUCAGGAUGAUGGAGUUUCAGCAUUUGCAGAUUGCUGUUAGCUGCAGCCAGCCCAGCCGACACAUCAACUCUACUUCAGUUUGUUACAAUUUUAAGAUUCCCUGUGUAGGAGACUUAAUGCAAGAGAGGAAACUGAAGGUUCCUUUGUAGGAAUUGCAGAUUUCUUCCAUAAGAAUCACAGUUUAAAAGUUCUGAGCACAUCAUCCAAAGCUGUACUCCUGAACAAGCAGAGGAAUCUCGCUGACCACAAAAAGCCCCAAACCACAAAUAUCCUUAAUGCUUGGGAUUUGCCAUAAAAAUGAAACAAGAGCUAAAGCACUCCACUGCCUCCUGCUCGGCACGGCACCUCCCCAGCACACGCUUCAUUUCCACAUUGAGAACAUGCAAUGCCUCAGAAAGCUUUACACGCCUUACACACCAGAAGUGCAUACACAAAGCUCACCUACGAGUUUCAAGAACGUAUCAUUACAACUGCAGCUGUCACCUUCCCAUCCGACACCCUUCCUCCAAGAUUUAAUGUUCCAGAAGCACAGAUGGCUGUAAUCAUUUUUUUUUUUUCAUUAGGACUACAUCAUAAAAAACAUUGCAAAACACAUUCUGAACAAGGGUAUUUAUUUCUAUAUUAAAAAUACUGCACACAUUAAUACGCAGUUAGCUGGGUGCUCAUUUAAAUGAAACUUGAAGGCAGAACUGUGUAACACGCUUUUAUUACUAUUGCUCCUAAUGUCUAGAAACAUGAGAGUCAGUGCAUGGCAUCUCACUGCCAACAAAACCAAAGAGAUAAAGCAAUAACAGAUGCCCAACAAAUCUUCCUGACAGGAUUUGCAGAUACGUAAGAAAGCUUUAAUCAAAUUAAGCAUCGCUACUUUUUGGGAAUUAAUGAUUGAAUUCACUAACUAGCAGCAUUUUUAGCUGAAAAUAAAGGUGAAUAAUCAAUGAGAAAGUCUAGAGAAAGAAUUCCUUUUGCAAUCUGUCCACCAAAGUCCAAAUUUUACAUUCUCCAUUCACCAGCAAUCUGCACAACUCUGGCACUGCACUCUGCUAAGGGUUGGUUGGUACAGUGAUGCACCUGAGCUACUCUCAGUGCACAUUGCAAGAGGAAUGCACAGCUGUUUCAGGCACAACUUGUUUCUGUUACAUACACUCUGUCUCACCAAAAUCAGCUCAACCAGAAGUCAGCAAACCAAAUUAAAGGCUUAAGCAUAAUGCACCCACUUACAAAAUUCUGACUGGAUACUGGAAGGAACUGAAAAUUACAAGACUUUUGAGACUACAAAUACAAAAACCAGGCUAAGUAACAUCCCAGAAUUAUUAAACGUGUUUUUACAAAGGAGAACUACUCUGUUCCGCCUUUAGGGUGCAGAACCCAGAACCUUCCACAGAUAAUCAGCCCUAACACCAGGCUCCCACGCUACUCAGAAGCCCUGACAGCACAGCGCCCACCAAAAACCAGCCCAGAGAGCAGCUCCCAGUGCCUGGAACUCCCAGGUGCUCCCCCAGCCAUGUCAGCCACACAGAUGUGCUGCAUUUUUACCCCUCCCCACAUCCUGUUCUCUAAAGCAGAUGCGGGGGGCUCCUGGGACUCUGACAGACAAACCUUUGUUCACUCUUGAUUGGAGGGCGUCCAAGCAUUCUUCUAAAGAAAAUGGGGUUUCUAUAUUUCAAUUGUGCUGCAAAGGAAGAAAAUCACCAAUUCCCCUGGUUUUUCCAGCUGCCGGCAUUACCAGCACCUACCCAGGUCCAGCACUUGGUAUGUUUUCAGGUUAGUUUUGUUGGUUUUCUCUUUUAACACCUAUACAUUAAAUAUAAACAAACUUCCAUCAAUAUAACAGCUCCAGGGUUUAAGGUCUGUUGAUGAGAACUACUUGUGGAACAGCGUGAAAAGCCCAUUGCUGGAAGAGGUCAUGCACCUUGCAACUGUUUGGAGUAGUAAGAAUGAAUACAUUUAUUGCUUUAACAGGAUUUCUGAAACUGCACACUUUGUUUACUUAUGAGUCUAUGUUAUUUACAGUCAACUUCUUUCCACUGCAUAUACUGCUCCAAAGCACAUGAUUCUCAAGAAAGGUCGCUGUUUCCCAUUUACACUAGUAUCCCCUGAAGCCACUGUUGAGACUUAACAUGUAGAUAAACUUCCUUGUCCCAACAAGGAGAUAUUUGAACUCUUGUGAAAAGGAAUAAUGUACAGCUGAAACGCCUUGCCAGGCUUGCAGAUGAGCUGCCUGCAGCAGUCAUGGCAGAACUGGGAGGUUCAUCUCACAGCGCAGUCACUCCAGGCUUUUGGCACAAAAUGCUGCACCAGCAACAAGGCUGGGGCAUUCUCUUUGCCACUCCACUUAUAGGGAAACAUUAUCUUUAAAAUUCAGAGCAAAUAUGAGCAGUAAAACCUGCUUAAAAAAAAUAAUACAAAGCCACAGCUGGUAUAGCUUUCAGUCCAGAUGAAAAAAAAAAAGAUAGAAAAACAUGUAUCUUAGUAAAGAACAGCAAAGUGCCCUUAAGGAAUCAACGCAUUCAGCACUGUUCCUGUGCUCUGCUGUGUCACCCAGGUGAUAAACAAAGAGCAGAAAGCCAGGUUUUGGUAUGAUUAAAAGUCACCACGACAAGCAAUAACAUAUGGAACACAGGAUGCUGUAGGGGCUAAGCUGUACCUAUUCCCGAACAUUCUGGCUGAGGAUAGGUUGCUUAAGAAAGAAAUCCCAGCUCUCUGGUGGAAAUGCCCAGAGAAUCUGAUGGGGACCAAAGGAUCUCAUUGUGCCAUGUAUUUCUUUUCUUUUUUGCUUUUCCCCUGUGUGUGCAUGACAUGUUCAAGAGAGGUGAACAGCACUAAGAAAAGCUAAAUUCCCUCUGUACGGCAAUUUGGCAUAUCCUUAACCAAAUACAAGCCAGUGUACAAACAGACAGUACACUUUUUAGCAGGUAAAUGUUUCCACAUUUAUGUAUGCAGCCCUAGGAGUCACCAGGAAUUAAUCUGCAACUGAAAUCCACAGAAUCAGUGUUUCAGAGCACUAGUCUCUGCUGCUAGAUUCAUACGCUUUUAUAGGAACAUUUAAGAAAUCCACAUAGGAAGAACCAUAAACAGUCAUGACAAGGGCUGGCCGGGUUGUGCGAUUGUUUUAUUAUUGUUUACUUUAAAAAAAGUAGAAUUGCGUGCACCUAAUACAGGAGUAAUGCUCCUGGAAAUGACUGCAACAACAAAUAAUGGUAAUAAACAAAAUACAACAACAUUUUCAACAUCGUCACUCCAGGAACAGAGGGAUUGUCAGAUUGAGAUUUAUUUUGAGUUUUUAAUAAUAUCCCUGUUUUUCAAGCAAAUCUGUAACAGACAAAUUAUCUCUUCAGGUUUAAAUUGAGGAACAUCAUCAGCUCCCCUUACUAAAUUUUAAUAGUCAGUAGAAAAAUGCAUAAAUUCACACAGUAAGUCCUGCUGAAGUUCUGCAAGUAGGUCUUUAGGGGACCACAUACAGGUUAAACACUUGUAUUGGGUAUAAUGAUUCCUUUCCUUUGCUACCUCCCUGCCCAGCAAAAAAAAAAAAAAAAAAUGCUGUUACCAUACCAAGGAGACCAAAGGCAGAGGGAAAACGGCUGUUCUGCCAAAACCAUCCAUCAGAUUUACCCAAAGUCUUACACACAACCCCUUAAAAGAUUUUUAAAGUUGAUUCUCCUGAUUUGCUGUACAAAAUUGAAGACUGUUUAUUGCUGUUGAUUUGUUUGCAUUAUUUUGCUCAGCUUUUAAAUUCCAACAUAAAAAAGCCAAUUAGAACCCACAGUUUUUCAGUUAUGCAGAUGUGAGAUGUGUAUUACUAACAGACCAGCACAAACAAAACAACUCUGCAGUUAAGCUGCUCUGCUCUUCCAGCACUGCAGCAUCCAGGAAUAAGGGGCAAUGCCACACUGAGACAUUAAGAAGUUAACAAAAAGUUGAUUGAACAACGUGAACAAUAAACCCCACUUGAUUAAAAUAUUCCGAAAUGAACCCAAAAAAAAAAAACACACACUUAACCUGAAAGUUGACUUUAGAAAAACAGAUAAAAGAACAAGCAUGCAUAAUAUUUAAUACUUGCAAAUUGUUUCUUAUUAUUUAACUCAUGCAUUUAGCACAUCCCUGUUUAACAAAGCCAGGUGAAAGUGACAGGCUUUUCCAUGAUCUGCUGUUCCCCCUGGCAGAGCUAUCAUCUUGCACCCCCAAACUGCCUAAGCCUUGUUAGGAACUUUAAUGAGCAUCCUUAAAAAUAGAAAGAAUUUACAUAACUUCUCCUAUCUAAGCAUUUUAAAUAGCAGCACUAUCAUGCAGCCAUCCCAGGUCCCAGGAGGGACAAAGAUAUGUUGUCAACAAAGAAAAGACAGAGAUAACGUCUUCAGAGCUCACCCCCUGACCUGACAAAAUCCAGGGCCUGAGAUUGGCCUCCAUGUUGAAGAUAGACCAUCUGAAAGCAGCAGCAAACACUCCCGCCGUUAUCUCGCACUUCCUUGUUUUGCAGACCGCACGGAGCACUUCAUACAAUGGCAUCUGAAUCUGCCGUAACCCAUUUGAGAAUGACUUCUGUGAAGCGCAUGUGAUAUAAAGCACAUUUCUCAAGGGCAACAGGAACAAUGAAGAGAAACAAACUCUGCUGUGAACCCUUUCUGCUGGAAGCAUAAUGCACAGGCACAAGGGAAGCAUAGAUGUUGUCUUUACAAAGGCCACCACCACUCCGUUCACAAGAAUUAAAAAUCAAACACACAUCUGCCUUUUGCUAGUCCACACAAUACUAUCACCCUCUGGAAGCAGAGAUACCUCUUACCAACCAGCUAGCAGCCGCACACAGCAGUAACAUAUCCUACCGCUCUUUGUUUUUAUGGACGUACAAAAGUAUUAUUAAUUUCUAACCGCAACUCAAAAUAAUUGCAACAAACCACCACCCCUGAAUUAAA